AGCAUGUGGUUUAAUUCGAAAGCAACGCGAAGAACCCUUUACCAGGUCUUGACAUCCCGAUGCUAUUUCUAGAGAUAGAAAGUUACUUCGGUACAUCGGUGACAGGUGGUGCAUGGUUGUCGUCAGCUCGUGUCGUGAGAUGUUGGGUUAAGUCCCGCAACGAGCGCAACCCCUAUUGUUAGUUGCCAUCAUUCAGUUGGGCACUCUAGCGAGACUGCCGGUAAUAAACCGGAGGAAGUGGGGAUGACGUCAAAUCAUCAUGCCCCUUAUGACCUGGGCUACACACGUGCUACAAUGGUUGGUACAACGAGUUGCGAGUCGGUGACGGCGAGCUAAUCUCUUAAAGCCAAUCUCAGUUCGGAUUGUAGGCUGCAACUCGCCUACAUGAAGUCGGAAUCGCUAGUAAUCGCGGAUCAGCACGCCGCGGUGAAUACGUUCCCGGGCCUU
rnacentral:rRNA from 1 species